GAUGAACGCUGGCGGCGUGCCUAAUACAUGCAAGUCGAGCGAACAGACGAGGAGCUUGCUCCUCUGACGUUAGCGGCGGACGGGUGAGUAACACGUGGAUAACCUACCUAUAAGACUGGGAUAACUUCGGGAAACCGGAGCUAAUACCGGAUAAUAUAUUGAACCGCAUGGUUCAAUAGUGAAAGACGGUUUUGCUGUCACUUAUAGAUGGAUCCGCGCCGCAUUAGCUAGUUGGUAAGGUAACGGCUUACCAAGGCAACGAUGCGUAGCCGACCUGAGAGGGUGGUCGGCCACACUGGAACUGAGACGCGGUCCAGACUCCUACGGGAGGCAGCAGUAGGGAAUCUUCCGCAAUGGGCGAAAGCCUGACGGAGCAACGCCACGUGAGUGAUGAAGGUCUUCGGAUCGUAAAACUCUGUUAUUAGGGAAGAACAAAUGUGUAAGUAACUAUGCACGUCUUGACGGUACCUAAUCAGAAAGCCACGGCUAACUACGUG
rnacentral:rRNA from 1 species